GGGUCUAGAACGUAUGGCUACAACUAACUAUGCUUGCCACUUGCCUGGGAUCCUAAUCGAUCUCCUGUCCUACGUACUUGAGAAUCUUUAUGAGCACCCUAGGGAUCACCCAUACAACCAUGCAAACCACCUUUAGUUACAGGUGAAAUUGCUCAAAUCGAUGGAGCACUUUGAACUAAAGGAACCAUCACUCCACAACUGGGGAACUCUAUCAUAAAAUGACCAAAAGCUCCAUAACCAUAACAUGCCCC
rnacentral:lncRNA from 1 species